GAUGAACGCUAGCUACAGGCUUAACACAUGCAAGUCGAGGGGCAGCAUGAGGUCAGCUUGCUGACUUUGAUGGCGACCGGCGCACGGGUGAGUAACGCGUAUCCAACCUUCCCGCGACUGGGGGAUAACCUUGCGAAAGUAAGACUAAUACCCCAUGGUUUCCGAGGCGGACAUCCAAUUUGGAAUAAAGAUUCAUCGGUUGUGGAUGGGGAUGCGGCUGCUUAGCUUGUUGGCGGGGUAACGGCCCACCAAGGCUACGAUCAGUAGGGGUUCUGAGAGGAAGGUCCCCCACAUUGGAACUGAGACACGGUCCAAACUCCUACGGGAGGCAGCAGUGAGGAAUAUUGGUCAAUGGACGAGAGUCUGAACCAGCCAAGUAGCGUGCAGGAUGACGGCCCUAUGGGUUGUAAACUGCUUUUAUACGGGAAUAAAGUCAACCACGUGUGGUUGUUUGUAUGUACCGUAUGAAUAAGGACCGGCUAAUUCCGUGCCAGCCGCCGCGGUAAAAC
rnacentral:rRNA from 1 species